GGAGUACGGCCGCAAGGCUGAAACUCAAAAGAAUUGACGGGGGCCCGCACAAGCGGUGGAGCAUGUGGUUUAAUUUGACGCAACGCGAAGAACCUUACCAGGUCUUGACAUCCUCUGCAAUCGGUAGAGAUACCGAGUUCCCUUCGGGGACAGAGUGACAGGUGGUGCAUGGUUGUCGUCAGCUCGUGUCGUGAGAUGUUGGGUUAAGUCCCGCAACGAGCGCAACCCUUGAUCUUAGUUGCCAGCAUUUAGUUGGGCACUCUAAGGUGACUGCCGGUGACAAACCGGAGGAAGGUGGGGAUGACGUCAAAUCAUCAUGCCCCUUAUGACCUGGGCUACACACGUGCUACAAUGGAUGGAACAAAGGGAAGCAAAACCGCGAGGUCAAGCAAAUCCCAUAAAACCAUUCUCAGUUCGGAUUGCAGGCUGCAACUCGCCUGCAUGAAGCCGGAAUCGCUAGUAAUCGCGGAUCAGCAUGCCGCGGUGAAUACGUUCCCGGGCCUUGUACACACCG
rnacentral:rRNA from 1 species